rnacentral:rRNA from 1 species
UGAUCCGGUGGUUCUGCGUGGAAGGGCCAUCGCUCAACGGAUAAAAGCUACCCUGGGGAUAACAGGCUUAUCUCCCCCAAGAGUCCACAUCGACGGGGAGGUUUGGCACCUCGAUGUCGGCUCAUCACAUCCUGGGGCUGUAGUAGGUCCCAAGGGUUGGGCUGUUCGCCCAUUAAAGUGGUACGCGAGCUGGGUUCAGAACGUCGUGAGACAGUUCGGUCCCUAUCCGUCGCAGGCGUAGGAAAUUUGAGAAGACCUGUCCUUAGUACGAGAGGACCGGGAUGGACGUACCUCUGGUGUACCAGUUGUUCUGCCAAGGGCAUGGCUGGGUAGCUAUGUACGGAAUGGAUAAGCGCUGAAAGCAUCUAAGCGCGAAGCCAACUUCAAGAUAAGAUUUCCCACCGCAAGGGUAAGACCCCAGAAAGACUAUCUGGUUGAUAGGUCGAAGGUGUAAGUGCAGCAAUGUAUUUAGCUUAUCGAUACUAAUAGGUCGAGGACUUGACCAAU